GGGUUGUGAGGUUAAGCGACUAAGCGUACACGGUGGAUGCCCUGGCAGUCAGAGGCGAUGAAGGGCGUGCUAAUCUGCGAUAAGCGCCGGUAAGGUGAUAUGAACCGUUAUAACCGGCGAUACCCGAAUGGGGAAACCCAGUGUGACUCGUCACACUAUCAUUAACUGAAUCCAUAGGUUAAUGAGGCGAACCGGGGGAACUGAAACAUCUAAGUACCCCGAGGAAAAGAAAUCAACCGAGAUUCCCCCAGUAGCGGCGAGCGAACGGGGAGGAGCCCAGAGCCUGAAUCAGCAUGUGUGUUAGUGGAAGCGUCUGGAAAGGCGCGCGAUACAGGGUGACAGCCCCGUACACAAAAGCGCAUGUGCUGUGAGCUCGAUGAGUAGGGCGGGACACGUGGUAUCCUGUCUGAAUAUGGGGGGACCAUCCUCCAAGGCUAAAUACUCCUGACUGACCGAUAGUGAACCAGUACCGUGAGGGAAAGGCGAAAAGAACCCCGGCGAGGGGAGUGAAAAAGAACCUGAAACCGUGUACGUACAAGCAGUGGGAGCCCCACCACCAAAGCAUUUGCUGUACCGCGUUGACGGAGCGAAGCGACGUCAAACCGAUAAAACAGCAGUGUAAAGUGAGCCGCAGGGCGCUUUGCGCGACAGCGCAAAGGCAGGCGGUUUCGCGUAGCGAAAGCGAAUGCUUUGGGGUGGGGUGACUGCGUACCUUUUGUAUAAUGGGUCAGCGACUUAUAUUCUGUAGCAAGGUUAACCGAAUAGGGGAGCCGGAGGGAAACCGAGUCUUAAUUGGGCGUUAAGUUGCAGGGUAUAGACCCGAAACCCGGUGAUCU
rnacentral:rRNA from 1 species